rnacentral:rRNA from 1 species
CGAAUAAGCUUSGGUUWCUUCUGUGCCACCAGCCGCGGUAAUWCGGGGGAUGCAAGCGUUUUCCGGAUUUAUUGGGUUUAAAGGGUGSGUAGGGGGCMAUUGUAAGUCAGCGGUGAAAUUUCGGAGCUCAACUUCGAACGUGCCGUUGAUACUGCAGUGCUUGAAUGCGGAUGCCGUGGGAGGAAUGUGUGGUGUAGCGGUGAAAUGCAUAGAUAUCWCACAGAACACCGAUUGCGAAGGCAUCUCACGAAUCCGCUAUUGACGCUGAGGCASGMUCCCUUGGUAAUCWAACAGGAUUAGAUWCYCUGGUAGUCC